GAACCAGUGACUCUUGAAUUUUCCAGAGAAUGAAUCUUUUCAUUUGAACUAAUGCAAUUGGAUAUUUGGUCAAACUACUGCCAUAUUCUUCCUUCAAGCUACUACGCUAUGAAGAGGCAUGCACCUGCAUAGCACAGAGCCAUCUAGACCCUUUCAGAUGCAAGAUGUGCAGUGGGCACAAUUUAGAAAUGGCACGGGAGUGAGUGGUAGGAAGUGAGGAAAGUUGUACUGCUUUGUCCUGCAAUCUAUGAUGUGACAUAAGGAAUGGCAAAAAUAGACUGUCUGUGGUCCACUUUGUAAAUCUGGUUUAUAGGCACAAAUUUUCUUUGAGUUGGGAAGUAGUCUUGGAAAGGAUCAGUUCUAUAGUUCCAUCAUUGAAUUCAUCAUCAUUGUCCCAGAGACCAGCAUAUGAUCUGUGAGAUGUGGCUCAUGGGCUAGGCAUUGGCAAGUUUGCUUUUGGUGGAAGAUGGUGUGUGUGUGUGUGUGUUACAGUUUGUUACACUUUGUAGGUACAGAUAAUUACAGAUAUGAAAAGUCUUAUGCAGAUUAUAAAAUGUUCUAUUGCAUUCACAUUUUAUGAAGAA